rnacentral:rRNA from 1 species
GACGAACGCUGGCGGCGUGCUUAACACAUGCAAGUCGAACGGAAAGGCCCUGCUUGCAGGGUACUCGAGUGGCGAACGGGUGAGUAACACGUGGGUGAUCUGCCCUGCACUUCGGGAUAGGCUUGGGAAACUGGGUCUAAUACCGGAUAGGACCGCACUUUAGUGUGUGUGGUGGAAAGUUUUUUCGGUGUAGGAUGAGCUCGCGGCCUAUCAGCUUGUUGGUGGGGUAAUGGCCUACCAAGGCGGCGACGGGUAGCCGGCCUGAGAGGGUGUACGGCCACAUUGGGACUGAGAUACGGCCCAGACUCCUACGGGAGGCAGCAGUGGGGAAUAUUGCACAAUGGGCGCAAGCCUGAUGCAGCGACGCCGCGUGGGGGAUGAAGGCCUUCGGGUUGUAAACUCCUUUCGCUAGGGACGAAGCUUUUUGUGACGGUACCUAGAUAAGAAGCACCGGCUAACUACGUG